CUUGAAUAUCUGAUACCAUCAGUGGCAGUCUAUUUUUGGAAUUGAAAACCAGUUUGGUCACAGCACAAGUGGAGUGACUGAAGGCUUGGAAUUCUACUCUGACAUAUGCACUUAGGAGAAACCCUUGCACGUAAACUAUGAGACUUUGUUACUUGCCCUCUGGGUGGUACCAUGAAGACAGAGUGUGGACCUUCCUAUCAUCUACAGUCAAAACUAUGCCAAACCAAUCAAUGGGCUGAUCUAGUAAUCACACACCCUUAAUCCUAGCAUCAUACAGCCUAGUUUCAGCCACCUUUCAAAAGUCCCGCCUAUGACCACAUGGGAUCCUUCGGGGGAACAUCUAGGCACAAGCCAUAACACACGGGAACAUGAAAAUAGAAAUUAUAAAAAUACAUAAAGAAGACAAAGGAACCAAGGAAUGCCAACAACGUAAGAACUCAGAUGAGUCAAUAAGGAU